rnacentral:tRNA from 2 species
GGCGCGGUGGCGAAGAGGUAACGCAGGAGUCUGCAAAACUUCCAUGCAAGGGUUCGAUUCCCUUCCGCGCCU